rnacentral:SRP_RNA from 1 species
GAGCAGAUCCAGCAAACGGGGCCUGACCUGGGCGGUGGGCGGCGGGACCGCGCCGCUGU